GUUCGAGGUAAUUAUUCAACCCAUUUGCAUUUACACUGUGCAGUAUCGUACAUUACUGUUAAAGCUUUAAAGUAAAAGUUAGCAACAAUUACUAAACAUGGAUCGUUGAUCUACGAUACUACUGCUGUCAGUAUUAAUUGUGUGGUCCAUUAUACGAUAUCAGUGGCAUGUCAUUCGAGUUAUUAAUUACGGCAAAGUCUACGAGGGACUGUGAAAAAGAUGAGCAGCAAGCUAUUAAUGACUUCCUUUAUAAUUUCGCAAAAUCCAAUACACUGCUGUCGCUGUGUAAGAGGCAGAUAUUAAUUCGUCAGUCCGGAAGAAAAUUACAAGUAUUCUGUAGUUUUCAGUGUUUUAUCCAUGGCUGACCAUUUGUGCAACAAAUUGUAUAGAACAGAUGUAUAGAAGUAUUUUUUUUAAUUCAGUUGCGCUAACUGAAAUUACCUGUUAUAAGUUAUACAGUAAAAACAUUUGAAAAGUUUUCUUAAUGGAACUGAAAAUUUGUUAAGCAGCAUUUACCUUGAAAGAGUUUUUGUUCCGGUUUGAAUAGAAACUGUUCUCUGCCUCGGAAUGGCAACAGUCAGAACUUGACUUUCGAUUUGUUUUGACGCUGCUAAUAAGAUGUAACAUUAAAUUAGAUUAAUUUGUCUGGUACUUUAAUAAAUUCUUUUUUAAAAACUA